GUAGGGAAUAUUGGUUAAUGGGCGAAAGCCUGACCCAGCAACGCCGCGUGAACGAUGAAGGCCUUCGGGUUGUAAAGUUCUUUUUAGCGGGAUGAGGAAGGACAGUACCGCUAGAAUAAGUCUCGGCUAACUACGUGCCAGCAGCCGCGGUAACACGUAGGAGACAAGCGUUAUCCGGAUUUACUGGGUGUAAAGCGCGUGCAGGCGGACCGGAAAGUUGGAUGUGAAAGCUCCCGGCUUAACUGGGAGAGGUCGUUCAAGACUACCGGUCUAGAGGACAGCAGAGGGGAGUGGAAUUCCGAGUGUAGCGGUAAAAUGCAUAGAUAUUCGGAAGAACACCAGUGGCGAAAGCGGCUCUCUGGGCUGUAACUGACGCUCAGACGCGAAAGCUAGGGUAGCAAACGGGAUUAGAAACCCGAGUAGUCC
rnacentral:rRNA from 1 species